CCUACGGGAGGCAGCAGUAGGGAAUCUUCCACAAUGGACGAAAGUCUGAUGGAGCAACGCCGCGUGAGUGAUGAAGGUUUUCGGAUCGUAAAACUCUGUUGUAAGGGAAGAACAAGUACGAGAGGGAAUGCUCGUACCUUGACGGUACCUUGCGAGAAAGCCACGGCUAACUACGUGCCAGCAGCCGCGGUAAUACGUAGGUGGCAAGCGUUGUCCGGAAUUAUUGGGCGUAAAGCGCGCGCAGGCGGCCUUUUAAGUCUGAUGUGAAAGCCCCCGGCUCAACCGGGGAGGGUCAUUGGAAACUGGAAGGCUUGAGUACAGAAGAGAAGAGUGGAAUUCCAUGUGUAGCGGUGAAAUGCGUAGAGAUGUGGAGGAACACCAGUGGCGAAGGCGACUCUUUGGUCUGUAACUGACGCUGAGGCGCGAAAGCGUGGGGAGCAAACAGGAUUAGAUACCCUGGUAGUCCACGCCGUAAACGAUGAGUGCUAGGUGUUGGGGGGUUUCCGCCCCUCAGUGCUGAAGCUAACGCAUUAAGCACUCCGCCUGGGGAUACGGCCGCAAGGCUGAACUCAAAUGAAUUGACCGGNUGAGAGNGCGAGGCGACACGAGGGAGGAGG
rnacentral:rRNA from 1 species